CCUACGGGAGGCAGCAGUGGGGAAUAUUGGACAAUGGGGGCAACCCUGAUCCAGCCAUGCCGCGUGUGUGAAGAAGGCCCUCGGGUUGUAAAGCACUUUCAGUGAGGAAGAACGCCUGGUGGUUAAUACCCAUCAGGAAAGACAUCACUCACAGAAGAAGCACCGGCUAACUCCGUGCCAGCAGCCGCGGUAAUACGGAGGGUGCGAGCGUUAAUCGGAAUUACUGGGCGUAAAGCGCGCGUAGGUGGCUUGGUAAGCCGGUUGUGAAAGCCCCGGGCUCAACCUGGGAACGGCAUCCGGAACUGUCAAGCUAGAGUGCAGGAGAGGAAGGUAGAAUUCCCGGUGUAGCGGUGAAAUGCGUAGAGAUCGGGAGGAAUACCAGUGGCGAAGGCGGCCUUCUGGACUGACACUGACACUGAGGUGCGAAAGCGUGGGUAGCAAACAGGAUUAGAUACCCCAGUAGUC
rnacentral:rRNA from 1 species